rnacentral:rRNA from 1 species
AAUGAACGCUGGCGGCGUGCCUAAUACAUGCAAGUCGAGCGAACAGACGAGGAGCUUGCUCCUCUGACGUUAGCGGCGGACGGGUGCGUAACACGUGGUUAACCUACCUAUAAGACUGGGAUACCUUCGGGAAACAGGAUCUACUACCGGAUAAUAUAUUGAACCGCAUGGUUCACUAGUGAAAUAAGGUUUUUCUGUGAGUAAUAGAUGAAUCCGCGCCGCAUCAGUUAGUUGGUAAGGUAACGGCUUACCAAGGCAACGAUGCGUAGCCGACCUGAGCGGGUGGUCGGCCACACGGGAACUGAGACUCGGUCCAGACUCCUACGGUAGGCAGCAGUAGGGACUCUUCCGCGAUGGACGAAUGCCGGAUGGAGCAACGCCGCGUGAGUGAUGAAGGUCUUCUGAUCGUAAAAUGCUGUUAUUAGGGAAGAAGAAAUGUGUAAUUAACUAUGCACGUCUUGACGGUACCUAAUCAGAAAGCCACGGCUAACUACGUG